rnacentral:rRNA from 1 species
AGAGUUUGAUCCUGGCUCAGGACGAACGCUGGCGGCGCGCCUAACACAUGCAAGUCGAACGGAGCUGAGAGGAGCUUGCUUUUCUUAGCUUAGUGGCGAACGGGUGAGUAACGCGUGAGUAACCUGCCCUGGAGUGGGGGACAACAGUUGGAAACGACUGCUAAUACCGCAUAAGCCCACGGCCCGGCAUCGGGCUGAGGGAAAAGGAUUUAUUCGCUUCAGGAUGGACUCGCGUCCAAUUAGCUAGUUGGUGAGGUAACGGCCCACCAAGGCGACGAUUGGUAGCCGGACUGAGAGGUUGAACGGCCACAUUGGGACUGAGACACGGCCCAGACUCCUACGGGAGGCAGCAGUGGGGGAUAUUGCACAAUGGGGGAAACCCUGAUGCAGCGACGCCGCGUGGAGGAAGAAGGUUUUCGGAUUGUAAACUCCUGUCGUUAGGGACGAUAAUGACGGUACCUAACAAGAAAGCACCGGCUAACUACGUGCCAGCAGCCGCGGUAAAACGUAGGGUGCAAGCGUUGUCCGGAAUUACUGGGUGUAAAGGGAGCGCAGGCGGACCGGCAAGUUGGAAGUGAAAACUAUGGGCUCAACCCAUAAAUUGCUUUCAAAACUGCUGGCCUUGAGUAGUGCAGAGGUAGGUGGAAUUCCCGGUGUAGCGGUGGAAUGCGUAGAUAUCGGGAGGAACACCAGUGGCGAAGGCGACCUACUGGGCACCAACUGACGCUGAGGCUCGAAAGCAUGGGUAGCAAACAGGAUUAGAUACCCUGGUAGUCCAUGCCGUAAACGAUGAUUACUAGGUGUUGGAGGAUUGACCCCUUCAGUGCCGCAGUUAACACAAUAAGUAAUCCACCUGGGGAGUACGACCGCAAGGUUGAAACUCAAAGGAAUUGACGGGGGCCCGCACAAGCAGUGGAGUAUGU